rnacentral:rRNA from 1 species
UACGUAGGGUGCAAGCGUUAAUCGGAAUUACUGGGCGUAAAGCGUGCGCAGGCGGCUUUGCAAGACAGAUGUGAAAUCCCCGGGCUCAACCUGGGAACUGCAUUUGUGACUGCAAGGCUGGAGUACGGUAGAGGGGGAUGGAAUUCCGCGUGUAGCAGUGAAAUGCGUAGAUAUGCGGAGGAACACCGAUGGCGAAGGCAAUCCCCUGGACCUGUACUGACGCUCAUGCACGAAAGCGUGGGGAGCGAACAGG